rnacentral:lncRNA from 1 species
ACGCACGCUCCGCUGGAGCCUGGGGUGGCCUGGCAGUCGUGGCCGAGACGUGUUUGCUGCACUUCGGUGCGCACAGGCACUGCGGUGCCAACCUCUUGGUUCCGCCCUCCCCCCGCAGGCGCCCACGCGUGACCUCGGCCGCCCACAGGCCUUCGACUCUUCCCGGACUCCAGGUCCCAGGCCGCCCCGCUCCACCCUGCGGAUGAUGGAGACAAAGUCCCCCACAAGCCCCUCAUAUGGGGCAAGGGGGAAGGUACCACCUGGGGCGGGGCCUGGCUCCCCACUGAGCAGAGGUGCUGGCCAAGGCGCUCCCCUUAGUGGACGUAGAGCCAGCCAGGUACCACCCCUCCUUCGCCCUGCCUUCCCCAGGAAGCUCACUCUUUGAGGGCCUUCUCUGGCAGCGGCAGCAUGAGAGCCUGCGUCUUCACCCACUGGGGACAGCAUGCAAAGGGCAGGUAUUUGCCCCCACCACCAACCAACUCAAGAGCCUGGAUCUGGAACCCAAACUGCCUGCACUCAAGUCCCAGCUCUGCCCAUCACUAGCUGUGUGACAUCGGGCAAGUUCUCACUGUGAACUGGAGAUGGCAAUAGGACCUACCUCAGAGUCGUAAAAUGCAGGAUUUUAUGAAAAGUGCUUAAAGAGGGUCUGCCCCAUUAAUGGCUAUGUAAAUGUGAACCACGAUUUUCAUCAUAUUAUGUAUGCUAUCACCACUAA